AUUUCUGAGAAUUUGAUCUUGGUUCAGAUUGAACGCUGGCGGCGUGGAUGAGGCAUGCAAGUCGAACGGAACGGUUUUAUAGCUGUUUAGUGGCGGAAGGGUUAGUAAUGCAUAGAUAAUUUGUCUUUAACUUGGGAAUAACGGUUGGAAACGGCCGCUAAUACCGAAUGUGGCGCUAUUUAGGCAUCUAGAUGGUGUUAAAGAAGGGGAUCGUAGGACCUUUCGGUUAAAGGGGAGUCUAUGUGAUAUCAGCUAGUUGGUGGGGUAAAGGCCUACCAAGGCGAUGACGUCUAGGCGGAUUGAGAGAUUGGCCGCCAACACUGGGACUGAGACACUGCCCAGACUCCUACGGGAGGCUGCAGUCGAGAAUCUUUCGCAAUGGACGGAAGUCUGACGAAGCGACGCCGCGUGUGUGAUGAAGGCUCUAGGGUUGUAAAGCACUUUCGCCUGGGAAUAAGAGAAGGCGGUUAAUACCCGUCGGAUUUGAGCGUACUAGGUAAAGAAGCACCGGCUAACUCCGUGCCAGCAGCUGCGGUAAUACGGAGGGUGCUAGCGUUAAUCGGAUUUAUUGGGCGUAAAGGGCGUGUAGGCGGAAGAGUAAGUYRGUUGUCAAAUCUCGGGGCUCAACCCCGAAUCGGCAUCUGAUACUAUUUUUCUAGAGGGUAGAUGGAGAAAAGGGAAUUUCACGUGUAGCGGUGAAAUGCGUAGAUAUGUGGAAGAACACCAGUGGCGAAGGCGCUUUUCUAAUUUAYACCUGACGCUAAGGCGCGAAAGCAAGGGGAGCAAACAGGAUUAGAUACCCUGGUAGUCCUUGCCGUAAACGAUGCAUACUUGAUGUGGAUGGUCUCAACCCCAUCCGUGUCGGAGCUAACGCGUUAAGUAUGCCGCCUGAGGAGUACACUCGCAAGGGUGAAACUCAAAAGAAUUGACGGGGGCCCGCACAAGCAGUGGAGCAUGUGGUUUAAUUCGAUGCRACGCGAAGGACCUUACCUGGGUUUGACAUGCAUAUGACCGCGGCAGAAAUGUCGUUUUCCGCAAGGACAUAUGCACAGGUGCUGCAUGGCUGUCGUCAGCUCGUGCCGUGAGGUGUUGGGUUAAGUCCCGCAACGAGCGCAACCCUUAUCGUUAGUUGCCAGCACUUAGGGUGGGAACUCUAACGAGACUGCCUGGGUUAACCAGGAGGAAGGCGAGGAUGACGUCAAGUCAGCAUGGCCCUUAUGCCCAGGGCGACACACGUGCUACAAUGGCCAGUACAGAAGGUAGCAAGAUCGUGAGAUGGAGCAAAUCCUUAAAGCUGGCCCCAGUUCGGAUUGUAGUCUGCAACUCGACUACAUGAAGUCGGAAUUGCUAGUAAUGGCGUGUCAGCCAUAACGCCGUGAAUACGUUCCCGGGCCUUGUACACACCGCCCGUCACAUCAUGGGAGUUGGUUUUACCUUAAGUCGUUGACUCAACCCGCRAGGGRGAGAGGCGCCCAAGGUGAGGCUGAUGACUAGGAUGAAGUCGUAACAAGGUAGCCCUACCGGAAGGUGGGGCUGGAUCACCUCCUUU
rnacentral:rRNA from 1 species